GCUUUUGCGCCUAAAUGUAACCCUAAUUCAACAUCGAGGUCGUAAUCUCUUCUUUCAAUCAGGGCUCUAAGAAGAAUUACGCUGUUACCCCUAAAGUAAUUUAAUUUUAUUUCUUUAACGGGUAUUUAAUUUCAUAUAUUUAUGUAAUUAUAAAAAUAGUUAUUUUAUUUUAGCCGUCCCAGCGAAACUUCUACGGUGCACUAUCUAUUAACAUUUAAAGAAGUGAAAUUUUAUAGGGUCUUAUCGCCCGACAAAAGCAUUUAGGGGUUUUAACCUAAAGUUAAUUUAUUUUUUGUGCCCGGAAUAGCAUAUCCCGCGUCGUUCCUUUCAUUCGAGUCCCCAAUUAAAAGACAAGAUAUUGUGCUACCUUAGUACAGUUGGAGUACUGCAGCUCUUUAUAAGACAGUGAGCAGGGGCGACUUUUUAUAGGUCA
rnacentral:rRNA from 1 species